GUUUUAAUUUCACUUAGUUUAGAGUAUUCUGGUGCUACCUUUUUUUUUUCAGGGACUUGGCCUCCUACCAGCAUGUUGUCAGAAGAGCACUGAUGGCUUACUUGGGUUUUCUUUAGAUCCAACAAGAAUAGGAGAGUGGAUAAUGUGUAUGCUUUGUAAAGCACAAAAUGUUGUGCCGAACAAACUUUUCUUUGCUCGAAACACUUUGCAUCCUCUUGUUUUAACCGAACUGGACAAAGUACAUGACUUAGAAUAGAUACAUUUUCAAUGACUUGGCUUCACACAAAACUCAGGGUAAUGGAAGGUGUAUAUGAUAUCCUUAAUUUCUCCUAUUGAAAACAGUGUGGAUUCUAUUAAAAUAUUUACAAGAAACAAUAAA